rnacentral:rRNA from 1 species
GACGAGGGGUCCUAGCGUUGUUCGGAAUCACUGGGCGUAAAGCGUAUGUAGGCGGCUCUUUAAGUCGGAUGUGAAAUCCCAUGGCUCAACCAUGGAAUUGCAUUCGAUACUGUUGAGCUUGAGUGUGGGAGAGAUUGGUAGAAUACCUGGUGUAGUGGUGAAAUACGUAGAUAUCAGGUGGAAUACCGGUGGCGAAGGCGGCCAAUUGGCCCAACACUGACGCUGAGAUACGAAAGCGUGGGGAUCAAACAGG